rnacentral:misc_RNA from 1 species
GACAGAGGUGGCAAGCGUUGUUCGGAUUCAUUGGGUGUAAAGGGUGCGUAGGCGGUUUGGAAAGUCAGAUGUGAAAGCCCACAGCUCAACUGUGGAAAUGCAUUUGAAACUUCCAGACUAGAGUACGAGAGAGGUAAAGGGAAUUCCCGGUGUAAGGGUGAAAUCUGCAGAGAUCGGGAAGAACACCAGUAGCGAAGGCGCUUUACUGGCUCGUAACUGACGCUGAGUGCACGAAGGCGUGGGGAGCAAACGGG